rnacentral:rRNA from 1 species
GAUGAACGCUGGCGGCGUGCCUAAUAUAUGCAAGUCGAGCGAACGGACGAGAAGCUUGCUUCUCUGAUGUUAGCGGCGGACGGGUGAGUAACACGUGGAUAACCUACCUAUAAGACUGGGAUAACUUCGGGAAACCGGAGCUAAUACCGGAUAAUAUUUUGAACCGCAUGGUUCAAAAGUGAAAGACGGUCUUGGUGUCACUUAUAGAUGGAUCCGCGCUGCAUUAGCUAGUUGGUAAGGACACGGCUUACCAAGGCAACGAUGCGUAUCCGACCGGAGAGGGUGAUCGGCCACACUGGAACUGAGACACGGUCCAGACUCCUACGGGAGGCAGCAGUAGGGAAUCUUCCGCAAUGGUCGAAAGCCUUACGGAGCAACGCCGCGUCAGUGAUGAAGGUCUUCGGAUCGUAAAACUCUGUUAUUAGGGAAGAACAUAUGUGUAAGUAACUGUGCACAUCUUGACGGUACCUAAUCAGAAAGCCACGGCUAACUACGUG